rnacentral:rRNA from 1 species
UGGGGAAUAUUGGACAAUGGGCGCAAGCCUGAUCCAGCCAUGCCGCGUGAGUGAUGAAGGCCCUAGGGUUGUAAAGCUCUUUCACCGGUGAAGAUAAUGACGGUAACCGGAGAAGAAGCCCCGGCUAACUUCGUGCCAGCAGCCGCGGUAAUACGAAGGGGGCUAGCGUUGUUCGGAUUUACUGGGCGUAAAGCGCACGUAGGCGGACUAUUAAGUCAGGGGUGAAAUCCCGGGGCUCAACCCCGGAACUGCCUUUGAUACUGGUAGUCUUGAGUUCGGGAGAGGUGAGUGGAAUUCCGAGUGUAGAGGUGAAAUUCGUAGAUAUUCGGAGGAACACCAGUGGCGAAGGCGGCUCACUGGCGCGAUACUGACGCUGAGGUGCGAAAGCGUGGGGAGCAAACAGG